rnacentral:rRNA from 1 species
AUUAUGCUACCUUUGCACAGUUAAAAUACUGCGGCCAUUUAAAAAUUUUCAGUGGGCAGGUUAGACUUUAAAUUUAAUUCAAAAAGACAUGUUUUUGUUAAACAGGCGGAUAUUAUUUUUGCCGAAUUCUUUACUUAAACUUGUCAUUUAAAUUUAUUUUACAAUAAAAUAUACUAAUUCUAUCAUUAUUACUUAAUUUUAAAAAUUAAAAUUAAUAUUUUGAUAAAAAUUUAAAAUAUAAUAAAUAAUUUAAUUUAUAAAAUAAAUUAUAACACAAUUUUUAAUAAUUGCUAAUUCUAAGCAUAUAUUUUUUAAAUUUAUUUACUAUUUAUAAAAAUUUAUUUUAUAGCUUAUCCCAUAAAAUAUUAAAAUUGUAAAUUAUUUAAUUAAAAAAUUUUUUAAAUAAAUUUACAGUUUCUAAAUUAAAUUUAUUUCUCAAAAAACUAGAUACCUUUAAAAACGAAUAACAUUUCAUUUCUAACACGAUAUUUAAAAUAAUUUUAUUACAUUAACUUUUACACCGUGUUAACUCUUUUAAAAUCGAGAAAAAUAUAUUUAAAUAUUUUUUAUUUAAUAAACGCUGAUACACAAGGUACAAUAAAUUAAAUUUUCUUUUAAAAUAAAAAUUUUUCAAAAUAUUUCAAUUUUCUUUUACAAUACUAUUAAACUAUUAUUAAAAUUAUUUUUUCUUUAAACAAUACUAAAACUUUUUCUUAUAUAAUUAUUUUUAAUACUUUUGAAUAAAAUUAAUAAAAUUAAUAAAUAAAAUCUAA